rnacentral:tRNA from 1 species
GGGGUUGUAGCUCAGUGGUAGAGCGCUUGCCUAGCAUGUAUGAGGCACUAGGUUCAAUUCUCAGCACCA